CCUACGGGUGGCAGCAGUGAGGAAUAUUGGUCAAUGGGCGGGAGCCUGAACCAGCCAAGUCGCGUGAGGGACGACGGUCCUAUGGAUUGUAAACCUCUUUUGUCGGGGAACAAAGGCGCCCACGGGUGGGCGGAUGAGUGUACCCGAAGAAAAAGCAUCGGCUAACUCCGUGCCAGCAGCCGCGGUAAUACGGAGGAUGCGAGCGUUAUCCGGAUUUAUUGGGUUUAAAGGGUGCGCAGGCGGAUUUUUAAGUCAGCGGUCAAAUCGUGGGGCUCAACCCCAUCCAGCCGUUGAAACUGGGGAUCUAGAGUGUGCGAGAGGUAGGCGGAAUGCGUGGUGUAGCGGUGAAAUGCAUAGAUAUCACGCAGAACCCCGAUUGCGAAGGCAGCAUACCGGUGCACAACUGACGCUCAGGCACGAAAGCGUGGGUAUCGAACAGGAUUAGAUACCCUUGUAGUC
rnacentral:rRNA from 1 species